rnacentral:rRNA from 1 species
GACGAACGCUGGCGGCGUGCUUAACACAUGCAAGUCGAACGGUAAGGCCCUUCGGGGUACACGAGUGGCGAACGGGUGAGUAACACGUGGGUGAUCUGCCCUGCACUUCGGGAUAAGCCUGGGAAACUGGGUCUAAUACCGGAUAGGACCCUGGGAUGCAUGUCCUGGGGUGGAAAGCUUUUGCGGUGUGGGAUGGGCCCGCGGCCUAUCAGCUUGUUGGUGGGGUGAUGACCUACCAAGGCGACGACGGGUAGCCGGCCUGAGAGGGUGACCGGCCACACUGGGACUGAGAUACGGCCCAGACUCCUACGGAAGGCAGCAGUGGGGAAUAUUGCACAAUGGGCGCAAGCCUGGUGCAGCGACGCCGCGUGAGGGAUGACGGCCUUCGGGUUGUAAACCUCUUUCAGCACCGACGAAGCGCAAGUGACGGUAGGUGCAGAAGAAGGACCGGCCAACUACGUGCCAGCCGCCGCCGUAA